rnacentral:rRNA from 1 species
UACGUAGGGUGCGAGCGUUGUCCGGAAUUAUUUGGCGUAAAGAGCUUGUAGGCGGUCUGUCGCGUCUGCUGUGAAAAUCCGGGGCUCAACCCCGGACUUGCAGUGGGUACGGGCAGACUAGAGUGUGGUAGGGGAGACUGGAAUUCCUGGUGUAGCGGUGAAAUGCGCAGAUAUCAGGAGGAACACCGAUGGCGAAGGCAGGUCUCUGGGCCACUACUGACGCUGAGAAGCGAAAGCAUGGGGAGCGAACAGG